GACGAACGCUGGCGGCGUGCCUAAUACAUGCAAGUUGAGCGCUGAAGGUUGGUACUUGUACCAACUGGAUGAGCAGCGAACGGGUGAGUAACGCGUGGGGAUUCUGCCUUUGAGCGGGGGACAACAUUUGGAAACGAAUGCUAAUACCGCAUAAAAACUUUAAACACAAGUUUUAAGUUUGAAAGAUGCAAUUGCAUCACUCAAAGAUGAUCCCGCGUUGUAUUAGCUAGUUGGUGAGGUAAAGGCUCACCAAGGCGAUGAUACAUAGCCGACCUGAGAGGGUGAUCGGCCACAUUGGGACUGAGACACGGCCCAAACUCCUACGGGAGGCAGCAGUAGGGAAUCUUCGGCAAUGGACGAAAGUCUGACCGAGCAACGCCGCGUGAGUGAAGAAGGCUUUCGGAUCGUAAAACUCUGUUGGUAGAGAAGAACGUUGGUGAGAGUGGAAAGCUCAUCAAGUGACGGUAACUACCCAGAAAGGGACGGCUAACUACGUG
rnacentral:rRNA from 1 species